CCCUGGACAGGUGGCCAGUCGGGACCACAACUGUCGUGUGCCACUGGAUAAAAGACGGCUACAGCCCAGCGCCACUCUCCACUCUAAUUUUAGCUCUGUCUUGGGCAGCUGGUGAAGAAGUCUACAGUGAUGUCAGUGGCACCUGACAGGGGCCUGUCCCUCCAUUUCUUGAAGUUGCCUGACUUCGCUUCGAACUUCUGUGAAGCCACUGAUUUAUGACUGGGAGUUGCCAAUUCCUGGGGAUUCCAAAGAGCCAGCUGCCGGAGCGGCUCGUCCAACUCUGCCUCAUUCUGUCCUGAGCGCCAGCCAAGCGGCUCCUCUGACCCACAGCACCAGGUAAAAACAGUGUUUGUGCAAUCCCCUGAAGUUCAAACAACCACAUUAGCGUCCCGAAAAUGAGAUGCAGAGUGAGUUUUGAGCCAAGUGUUAUGUUGGGAUUUUUAUGAAUUUUGUUUUCCUCAAUAUAUUUUUUUGGCUUUUAAUUUUUUUUCGGUUGACAACUUUAAUUUGUAUUCAUUUUGUUUGUAUGGUAGA